rnacentral:rRNA from 1 species
CAUCCAGCGAACUUGGCAGAGAUGCCUUGGUGCCUUCGGGAACGCUGAGACAGGUGCUGCAUGGCUGUCGUCAGCUCGUGUUGUGAAAUGUUGGGUUAAGUCCCGCAACGAGCGCAACCCUUAUCCUUUGUUGCCAGCGAUUCGGUCGGGAACUCAAAGGAGACUGCCGGUGAUAAACCGGAGGAAGGUGGGGAUGACGUCAAGUCAUCAUGGCCCUUACGAGUAGGGCUACACACGUGCUACAAUGGCGCAUACAAAGAGAAGCGACCUCGCGAGAGCAAGCGGACCUCAUAAAGUGCGUCGUAGUCCGGAUCGGAGUCUGCAACUCGACUCCGUGAAGUCGGAAUCGCUAGUAAUCGUGGAUCAGAAUGCCACGGUGAAUACGUUCCCGGGCCUUGUACACACCGCCCGUCACACCAUGGGAGUGGGUUGCAAAAGAAGUAGGUAGCUUAACCCUCGGGAGGGCGCUUACCACUUUGUGAUUCAUGACUGGGGUGAAGUCGUAACAAGGUAAGCGUAGCGAG